CUGUCUUCUCCCUCGCAGCGUUCACCACAGCUUCCUGCCGUAUGUUUGCUUUCUAUUUUCAUAUCCAUGGGAAAGGAAUCUGCUCUAGCAAAAGGCUUCUAUCCUGCCGGUGCCGGCUGCUGCUGCCACCUUCUUCUUAGGCCACAGGGCCCCUGGGAUUGUACAUCUGGUAAAGAAAGUAGAGAAGGAAAACAUUACUUGGACUGACCCCUAAUGUGACUAAAUUUGGGGUAGAGCAUUUGGGGAUCAGCGAAGAAGCUAUUCAUCGACUUAUUCCCCUUAUUGAGGACGCUACUUCCCAGCCACUCCAACCCAUGUCAGUCUAUCUAACUGAAAGCAGGUACAGCUGCAACCACUGUUCACUAACUAAACUAAAAUGUUAUCCAAGCAAGAUCACAGGAAGUAAAAUAAAGGUCUUCAAACCUACAAGAAGCUCUCCACUCACUGUGUUUUUCUCCAAGGAAAUUAUUGCUUUUUAAUCUGCCAUUCAUCUCAUCCACACAGGAACAAAGUGGAUUUUCAGCCUCUUGGCCUGGACUCGGAGGCAGAGGAACCCGUACGUUCAGAUGAAUGGUAAUGAGCAUUGUCAGAGAGGCAAGAAAAUUGAGUCCUUGCUCUGGCUGCUGGGGCUGAGAGCUGCAGGAGCUAAUUGUGUCAAUGGUAAUGAGACUGAGCAGGCAGCAGAUGCUCACGUGCCUUUACAAUCCAAAUACCACCAACAAAUUCCUCCCACAGAAACUUUGAGGGAUGUCUUGGCACCCUGGAGAUGGUGAUAGACCCGGGCUCAGCCACAUGCCACCUGCUAAAGCCAUUGUUUAAAAAAAGAAGGAGAAAGAAAAGAAAAAAGCCUGUUAUGACAACAAAGUUGUUUGCUGUCUCCUGCAAUGACUUUAUGGCACCAGUUUUAAGAUACUGCAGCUAUUGAAAAAAAAAAAAAAAAAGAGGAACAUCUGAUUCUUUAAAGAGAAACAUUUGUAUUGAGCACUGUUAACAACUUACUUGGGAAGCCGGAUGUUCAGUAUGUGUUAUAAUACAUAUUCUGCUGAUAAACCAUGCCUGCCUUUUUCCCAUUACAGCUCCCACUGUGCCUGCUUCCUACAGCAGGUUUACAUUUCCACAUGUUUUCCCAUGACAUCGAAGCAGAGAGCAUUUUUUUCCCUUUUUUUCCCAGAAAAAUCAAGAAUAAAAAAAUGCAGAUAGCAUGUGGAGUGCUGUAUAAAUAUUUACUGUAGAAUAAAUUAAACAACAUAUUUGGUCCUUAUUCACAAAGCAAGCUGGGUGGUGAAUUGUGCCUGAGGUUUUGAAGAGAGGAAGGCCAUUAAGGGUCCCUUAAUGACAGUCCUUUGUAGCACAAGCUGGUUAAAUGCGGCAGUAGAGAGAGGUUCAGACCCUUCCAGGAAACAUUUGUCCCAAGAACAUCUAUUUCUGGAGAAGUCUGGUCAAAUGUCCUUUCUCACCACAAGACUUUGUGUCUAGCUUUGCGCUCCUGCAAGGCUCACACUCUUCAAGCCAAUUUAAACUGACCGUAUAGCUGUUUGAAAUUUUUUUGUGGAUUGGUUUGGUUCUCACCAGUCCCAGAGUCAGAAGAAGACAAAAUUGUCCUAAAAACACUGAAGUAGGCUCUGGCUCCAACGUGGGUGCACACAGCUGAGCUCUGGCUCUGCUGAAGGUGAUGGACCCUUUCCCUUCAUAAGUGUCCAGCAUCCUUAGUGUCUGUUGGUCACAAACAGCUGCUGGCAGUAGGUAGAUGACUGGAUGUGGAUCAUUUGGCUUCAGCUGUCAGUGGAAGAUUGACCACAUGCUUUGUCUGGUCUGAAGACACUUCAAGCAGCAAUUAUGCUCCUUUUUUAAACUCCCAGGGGCAACAGAGAAAGUUAUAGCUCCUCAAAAGCUUGGGUUGAGCUGGUAAUUUGACAAGUAUGCAUUGCAGCCCUGACUAAAUUCACAUCUGCACCAAACUUCAAACCUUUCCUUUACAGAAACCCCACUCCUGUGAAGAAAAGUAGUAUCACAAAUGCAGCUGCUCCUUCUGCUCUGUAUAAAGAGUGGCCAUGGGAACAUCACCACAGGCUAGUUAGUGUGUUGCAGGGUACAAGAGCAAGGCGUUUGUCAAAGCAGAGUAGCAGUAGUAGUGUAAGAGACAGAAAGCCUUUUAGAUGUAUGGAUGUAAGGUAUUUCGAAUUGUAGUGCAUUCAAUACAUUAAUGUGUUAACACCUGGAAUAAAAACAGAUGUGGGAAAUCCAGUGCAAGCACACUAGUGUGCCAGGCUGAAAACUGGUAAGCAUUCCUCAGGCAAACAGCACAGGUGCUGACAGUACUUUCCCCAUCAGGAAGAAGAGGUCUUUGGUCUCCAUCCUGGUGACCACUCCAGCCUCACGGUGGCUGCAUCAUCAGGAGACAGGAGGUGACAGAGCACCUCCGUUCCUUGAGCUCCACUUUGCAUGCACUGAAGGUUAUAACCACUGUCCUCUGAAGCAUCUGGCUUCCCUGAUUAUUUGUAUUCAUAGAGAUGGACAGGAGGGAAAAAUGAUGCAUUAAGAAAUGAACAGUUAUGUCUGCUGUGCAUAACAGGAUCCACAGUUGGCUUGUGAGAAACUGGAGCAGUGAUAAACAAUGUUACCCUUUUAUUCCUCAGGUGUGGUGGGAAAGAAGUGUACCAUAGUUCUGACCAGAUGCCUUUUAUCCCAUGCAUACAUAAUAUUUGAAACCUCAUUUCACUGGGGUGCAUAUAUUGCUCUUAAAGGCAGUUUUAGGUAAACAGCUAUCAAAUAGAGAUACUCUACUUCAUGCUUCACAAGGAAAUAGCUAAACAAAAUUAGAAAUGCAUUAGUGUGAUCAAACAAUGGAAUCUCCAUUAUAUACUGUGCCAUAUUAACUAAGUCUCAAAAUAACUCAAAAGCAUCCGGUGAUAUAUUACAGGCAGUUGUUUUUAAUAGAGAUUUAGUAAACCGUAAGUCUCAAAUAUUUUUCUCUCUUGCACUUGGUAAAACUUUGAGAGAUAAAUGUUUUAUUGGCUCAGAAAGAGACUGAAUAUCUAUGUACAGUACUUACCAUGCAUGGAACAUGUACAAAUUCAACUCGCUAUUUAUAUACACAAUGCUGCAUUGCAAAACUGCCACGGAAAUUUACUCACGUAGCAGAAAAUGUGCUCCCCUGCCCUUUGCCACUAUGAUUGAUGAUAAUGUAAAAUCUAAUUUUGAACUCAUAAAAAAAAAAUCCUCACCCAUCAGCAGGUAUAUAGAAUUUUGUGGUUUGAUGUAUUUUAAUGAAUGAUCAGAUUAUUUUUUUUAAACAACUUGAAAAAGCUAGAAUUCUAGAUUGGGGUGUAAACUAAAUUUUUCUGGUCUUUCCUACUUCUGGAUACCUAGUCUUUUGUUCCAGGGCUUCAACUGGCUGUUUAUUGGGGCAGGAAGAUACUUUUUCCUGAUAUAGCUGUUACCUUUACCGAAUGAUUCCCAAGUGUCUCAGAGGUGACAGAGAGUGGCCUUUGAGACUGCUUGUGUUGGAUGUUGCAUAGAAGGGGUAGUGACUGGGAACAGAGACUUGUUAGGUGAGGUAUCUUCAGCAGGACUGCUUUAAGGUAUAGGUAUAUGUGUACAUAGCUAAGAUAUAGAUUUUGUGGAGGUCAGGAUUGAUAUUAUCAAGUGGAUUUUUUGCUUUUCUGAUUUUCCUGUCCUCUGACCCCAUUUUAGAUCAUUAAUUCACUGCCUUUUCAGAUGAAACACAUAACAGAUACUGAAUUGAGGUACGCUGUUUAGUAUUUCACAGGCUAAAAUAUAUGCCCUUCCUAAUGCAUUUGGGCUUAAUUAAGAAGACUGUGAUGAAGGGGUCACAUCUGAUAAUCCAAUAACCCAUUCUGCCUUUAACAUCUCUCAAAGUAACCCAGCCUCUGAUGUACCUCAGUUCUGAAAAAGCUAUCGGGUAUAAACGUGACUGAUGAGAGAGUUAGUAGGCUGGACAGCAUUAAUUUGUGAUGAGUUCUAUAAUAUGCUUGUCUGUGCAAAAAAUCAGACUGAAACGUCAGCCUCCUUUCACCCACUCCACUGAACAGCAUAUUGACCUUUGAUCAGCUCACUUGUGGGUCCAAGACUGAGUAUGAAAUGGUAACACUCCUUUGCCUACAAGGAUACUCUUCACUCAAGUUGCACUUGUGCUGCAACAGAUGGAAAUGUUAAGUACAAAGACCAGGGAGAGCUUUGUCCUUAGUUUUACUCUGGGAAACAAGCUUGUUGAAGAGGGAUAGAUGGAGAGGUAGAGGGAGAGACAAAGAGAGGGAGGAAGAAAGAGAAGAGAGAGGGGAAGCCCCCCAAUUUUGUCAUUCAUUGUGAUGGAAAAGGUGUUUUAAAAUACACUUCUGACUUAGGAAGACUUGUCUUUCACAUUCAUUACACAGGUGUCAAAUCAAAUUUUGUCUUGCUAUGUCUUGUGCACUGGAGCAUAGUGUAUAUGACAUUUUGUAACAUGAUGCAGCAUAAGGCAAUAAAUCAUACUGAAAGUGAAUAAAACCUCAUUUUCGUGUGUGUGCAGGAAGGGGAAUGAACUAAAUGGCACUGUGUUAAUUUCACUGUGCUUCAGUCAUUGUUAAGAAAUUUAUUUUCUUUCUCCCCUGUCCCUGCAGGGGGACUAUUUCUCAAAACAGUUCUUCAAAGUAAAAUUCUCUGUCACCUAAGUUUUGCAUAUAUACUGUGCAUCUAUGGGAUCAUUAACUUUUAGAAGAAAAUAUGGGCUUGAGAGCUCUAUAAAACUCCUCUGAGAAACAAGAUGGACUUUAAAGUAUAUCGACCACAGAAAUAAAUCUACUUUCAGCUAAAUCAAAGAUUAAUUAAUCUGCUGUGCAGCUGUUGUUUCUGAAGUAGCACUGUAGGCAAAUGG